UACGUAGGGGGCGAGCGUUGUCCGGAAUCAUUGGGCGUAAAGAGCGUGUAGGCGGUCCGGUAAGUCCGCUGUGAAAGUCGGGGGCUCAACCCUCGAAUGCCGGUGGAUACUGUCGGGCUAGAGUGCGGAAGAGGCGAGUGGAAUUCCUGGUGUAGCGGUGAAAUGCGCAGAUAUCAGGAGGAACACCUACUGCGAAGGCAGCUCGCUGGGACGUAACUGACGCUGAGACGCGAAAGCGUGGGGAGCAAACAGG
rnacentral:rRNA from 1 species